GUAGCUCCGAGAAAGGUUUCACGUUCCAGAAAGUCUCGACGGUGUUGCACCCAGUAGAGAACCUCCCCGAGGGUAGAGUAAGACGACCGUGAAGUCUCCAUAAUGCAGGCCGGCUGGUUGAACGACAUAAAAAAUCCAAUGGAGUACUCCCACGGCACGUCGGAACCAACACCAACCAACGAAAAUACAAAACUUACGUUCUCCGAACCUUCUUACAGCGGCGUAGGGAUUGUAUGGGAUAACGAAAGGAAUGAUGAAAGUUUCCCCGGACGAAAAUCCAUGGAACGUGACGAAACUCAUCCCCUUCGGAAAAUCUUUUUCACAUUUUCAACGAAACGUUAAACGAACUUGUUGGCUAAAGGGAUAUGUGAUUUAAUGGAGAACUAUAGAUCGAUCAUUGAUCUAUCUAUCAAGACAACGUCGUUCCUUCGUUAUCUAAGAUAAAGAUGACUUGCGAACUUCUUUUUUUUUCAUUGACAAUACUUC